AGCGAACGCUGGCGGCAGGCCUAACACAUGCAAGUCGAACGGAUCCUUCGGGAUUAGUGGCGGACGGGUGAGUAACACGUGGGAACGUGCCCUUUGGUUCGGAACAACUCAGGGAAACUUGAGCUAAUACCGGAUGUGCCCUUCGGGGGAAAGAUUUAUCGCCAUUGGAGCGGCCCGCGUCUGAUUAGCUAGUUGGUGAGGUAAAGGCUCACCAAGGCGACGAUCAGUAGCUGGUCUGAGAGGAUGAUCAGCCACAUUGGGACUGAGACACGGCCCAAACUCCUACGGGAGGCAGCAGUGGGGAAUCUUGCGCAAUGGGCGAAAGCCUGACGCAGCCAUGCCGCGUGAAUGAUGAAGGUCUUAGGAUUGUAAAAUUCUUUCACCGGGGACGAUAAUGACGGUACCCGGAGAAGAAGCCCCGGCUAACUUCGUGCCAGCAGCCGCGGUAAUACGAAGGGGGCUAGCGUUGCUCGGAAUUACUGGGCGUAAAGGGAGCGUAGGCGGACUGUUAAGUUAGAGGUGAAAGCCCAGGGCUCAACCUUGGAAUUGCCUUUGAUACUGGCAGUCUUGAGUACGGAAGAGGUAUGUGGAACUCCGAGUGUAGAGGUGAAAUUCGUAGAUAUUCGGAAGAACACCAGUGGCGAAGGCGACAUACUGGUCCGUUACUGACGCUGAGGCUCGAAAGCGUGGGGAGCAAACAGG
rnacentral:rRNA from 1 species